UCAGUGAGGGGGGGGAAAAAGAAAUCUGCGCUUUUUCCUUCCUUGUUUUGUGACAAAAAGUCGCAUAAUUUGAACGAUUCGGUUAAGCCAGGCCGAAGGAUAAGGCUGAAUCCAAAUCCUGCUGAAAAUGGCCGAAUCCUGGGUGAAUACCAAACCAAAUCCUGAAUUUGGUGCAUUCCUAAUUAAAACUGAUCCAGUUCCUCUAAUAGUGCUCUUUUUGAUGCAAACUUUUAUAUAAUGAGUUUUAAUAGAUAUUUUUGGAGAUAUUUUUUAUUCCUAUUUUACUUCCUUCAGCUCAUCUCAUUGGCCGCUAACAUCUUUUUUUUUUUUUUCUCACUACAGAUGCUCUUCUGGGAUCAUUGUGCAAGUCAUGCAAUAAUAAUUGGACUCAUUGGGCAGAGAAAGUGAAUGGGAAUCUCCGUGCAGAAGAUCCAGUCCCAAUAAUCCAGUCAGACGGGGUGGGAUCAAACUCAGCAUCACUUAACACCCCCAUUAGCAAUGGGAAAAUAACACGUGUAGAAACAGUUUUAUCUAUGGGGCCCAUUUACUUAGCUCGAGUGAAGGAAUAGAAGAAAAAAUACCUAGAAUUUUGAAUUUCGAAUAUGGCUACUUCGACCAUCGAAUAGGCUACUUCGACCUUA